rnacentral:rRNA from 1 species
UACGGGGGGGGGCAAGCGUUUGUUCGGAAUUACUGGGCGUAAAGAGCUCGUAGGUGGUUUGUCGCGUUGUCCGUGAAAACUCACAACUCAAUUGUGGGCGUGCGGGCGAUACGGGGCAGACUGGAGUACUGCAGGGGAGACUGGAAUUCCUGGUGUAGCGGUGGAAUGCGCAGAUAUCAGGAGGAACACCGGUGGCGAAGGCGGGUCUCUGGGCAGUAACUGACGCUGAGGAGCGAAAGCGUGGGGAGCGAACAGG